GAUGAACGCUAGCGGCAGGCCUAACACAUGCAAGUCGAGGGGUAACAUUGAAGCUUGCUUCAGAUGACGACCGGCGCACGGGUGCGCACCGCGUAUGGAACCUACCUUUUACAGAGGGAUAGCCCAGGGAAACUUGGAUUAAUACCUCAUAGUAUCAUUUAUUAGCAUUAUUAAAUGAUUAAAGAUUUCGGUCGGUAAAAGAUGGCCAUGCGUCCCAUUAGCUAGAUGGUAAGGUAACGGCUUACCAUGGCCACGAUGGGUAGGGGCCCUGAGAGGGGGAUCCCCCACACUGGUACUGAGACACGGACCAGACUCCUACGGGAGGCAGCAGUGAGGAAUAUUGGACAAUGGAGGAGACUCUGAUCCAGCCAUGCCGCGUGCAGGAAGAAUGCCCUAUGGGUAGUAAACUGCUUUUAUACAGGAAGAAAAAAGAGUACGUGUACUCUACUGACGGUACUGUAAGAAUAAGGACCGGCUAACUCCG
rnacentral:rRNA from 1 species